UUUUCGAAAGUGUUUGAUACGUUAAGAGAAAAUAAACAAGGUCCUAUAAUAAGUGUUUACCACUAAUAUUAUAUAGUUCUAGAUCUAGAUCUAUAUAUAUUCAUGAUGGCUGCUCGUUGUUGGGGCAAUUUACCAGAGAAUGUUUUAUUGGAAAUUUUUAGGUUAUCAUCUCUCGACACUAUUGGAGCAUCGGCUCAGGUGUGCAAUUAUUGGAACUCAGCAACAAAAAGCGCAUCACUAUGGCGGUCCAUAAAACUGGUUCUGGACGACAGAAAACUAGAAGAUACCGCUCGAAGAUCUAUUGCACUGGCAAAAAGAUGUGCAGAAAACGUAAUGGAACUGAGAAUUGAGUGCUCAAUUUGUAGCAAUGUGAUGGACGACACUCUGAAGAUUCUUCAGGACGUGUUGAAGAUUUUAUGGAGAUCCGAACUCCGAGUGUUAGAGCUGCAGGGGCUAUACCCGGACGGGCCG